GAUGAACGCUGGCGGCGUGCCUAAUACAUGCAAGUCGAGCGAACAGAUGAGGAGCUUGCUCCUCUGACGUUAGCGGCGGACGGGUGAGUAACACGUGGAUAACCUACCUAUAAGACUGGGAUAACUUCGGGAAACCGGAGCUAAUACCGGAUAAUAUAUUGAACCGCAUGGUUCAAUAGUGAAAGACGGUUUUGCUGUCACUUAUAGAUGGAUCCGCGCCGCAUUAGCUAGUUGGUAAGGUAACGGCUUACCAAGGCGACGAUGCGUAGCCGACCUGAGAGGGGGAUCGGCCACACUGGAACUGAGACACGGUCCAGACUCCUACGGGAGGCAGCAGUAGGGAAUCUUCCGCAAUGGGCGAAAGCCUUACGGAGCAACGCCGCGUGAGUGAUGAAGGUCUUCGGAUCGUAAAACUCUGUUAUUAGGGAAGAACAAAUGUGUAAGUAACUAUGCACGUCUUGACGGUACCUAAUCAGAAAGCCACGGCUAACUACGUG
rnacentral:rRNA from 1 species